CCAAAUCUAAGAUUGUGCACAACAAAGUAAUGUACGACAGCCAAAAUAAUUGAUGAUCAAUAAGCAUUCUCAAAAGCAUGUCACAAGAAGAUUUUAUUACAGAUCACAUCAUUGUCCAUCCCUUGACAUCUGGUUUAGUGCAAGUUUAGAAACAUACAACACAGUAACAAUACGCCGUGGAUGGGUUUUCGACCCAACACUCUGAUAUCAUGACGUCGCGUCCCCAAACAUUCUGGCAGGCCCUCUUGCAAUUUGGUUCCGUGCACGAAGGGCUUAAAAAACCAAUUCGCUUCUGGCAUUGCUCUGUAGACAAGAACAAACAUCAUUAGAAUAAGUCCAAACUGAGAAAAUUCAAAAACAAUAUCAUGUAGUCCGGUUAACAGGAGAAUAGAAACGUAUAUACUAUAUAGGGAUGGGGAGAUUGAUUCUGUACCAAUAUGAAUGGAGUUUCCUAGCUGCACAAUCACCAUAAGGCAAAGAAGAAUAGCUUUCCCCUCCAUAAGAGCAGACACAAAUUUCAUUCCAGAUGUACUUUGGCAAAACUGAAUUUCUUAUGCCUAAGG
rnacentral:lncRNA from 1 species